rnacentral:lncRNA from 1 species
ACUGUUUCACCCUGCCAAAACAAUCAGAUAUGGUUAGUAACUAUUUCUUAACUUGAUUUUUUUUUCAAUUAAAUAUAUAAAAAACAGACCUGCUCAUCCAUUAGGAUCAUAUCUAGGCUAAUAAGCUCAUUGGUCGUAGGAUUGACUGAAUCCCACACUCAUUGUGUUCACUUGAAUGUCCUAAUUAUGUCCGCUUGUAAGUUGUCGCUCAACUUCUUGUAUGCCAUAGUGUUAUAUCCUCAGAAUUAAAAGGAAACAAUAUGUCAAGUAAUAUAGGAUUUAUGAAGAUUCUAGCCAGAAAAAGUAAGUUUGCUAAAUAACAAUCACCAAAAUCUGAUGAUUCAGGCCAGAAGUGCUUUGGCGUGACUUCUUCCAACGUUGAUUGGAGCAAUUGGGCGUGGCUUCAUCAGGCGUCAAGCAUGCUUUGGCGUAAAUUUGUCGGACGUCAAGUGAAGCAGCUGGGCAUGGAUUUUUCUGGUAGCUCCGAUGACUUCAAUCUGUUCAAGUCAUGGUGAUUGUCGACUUCUAAUUGCUUGGUGUGUGAUUGUGCGGCCGACUGUACUUGUUUAGACGGGUUGAGGUGGCUGAGACGUGUGGAAAUUUGAUCGUAACCUUGUACUAUUUUUUCUUUUUUAAAAUUUUCAUCACAUGAGAUGGGUUUGUAUGUAUUCGUUCCUGUUUUGGAAUUUUCAUCAUGUGAGAUACGUCUCCUACUUGCAUCCAUUCCAAACUCUUCCAAGUUUUAUCCCAAUAGCUUUUUUAAUUGCUUUUAGCACGUACUGUACGUGGCUGAGCUUAUCCCCCCGUCCUUUCCUAUUAGGACAUGCAACGUUUCCAGCCCGUGUAUGUGCUGGACUUUGAGAUGUGCACAUGUAUGUCCGGCAAUAUUUAGAAGAAAAAAAGAGUUGUAG